ensembl:miRNA Mir450b-1 microRNA mir-450b-1
GAACUAUUUUUGCGAUGUGUUCCUAAUAUGUACUAUGAGUGUAUUGGGGACGCUUCGCAUUCAUGGUUC